ACAAAAUUGAAACCCAAAAAUCUGCUCAUUCUCUUCUCCAUACUGCCGAAACUUUCAGAAAGCCAUGGCUAGGGUUUCAAGCUUUUUCAAAGUUCAAUUAUCGAAGAAAUCGAGAUUUGGACUAAGUACGGGGAAAUAUAAAUCAAAAUGAUCGAUUCGCGUUGAGGUAAGUUCAUAUGGUUAGUCUAAGUGAUCGAUUAUUAAAUUUGAAUUGAGAUGAUGUUUUAUUUUAUAUAUAUUUGUUAUUUAAUCAUGACUUUAUGCAAGUACAAGAUUAGAUUGAAGGAUCAAUCGUGAGAAAUGCAGGGUCAAGUACAUUCGUACUACAACUCAUGAUGAAUUGAUGGAAAAGACCAUGGUUGGACCAUGGCAGUGAGUGUGCCAGUGUAAGACCAUGGCUGGGACAUGGCAUCGGCACAGACCGAGGAGUGCUAGUGUAAGACCAUGUCUGGGACAUGGCAUCGGCACGGACAUAGGAGAGCCAGUGUAAGACCAUGUCUGGGACAUGGCAUCGGCUCGAGAUGAGGGCCAGAGUAAGACCAUGUCUGGGACAUGGCAUCGGCAUCGAUAUGUGAUCUCAUGUAAGACCAUAUCUGGGAUAUGGCAUUGACGUCCUACUAGGUGUACGAAAUAUCCCAAACAUCCCUAAUAUUACAAGUAGUUCAACGGGAAAUUUAAGGAGUAUGCUCAAGAUAAGUAAGAGUAGGAUAUGUGAGUAUUAUGACUAGGCACAGGUAUGUAUAUGAGACUCAUAAAUAAUGUGCUCAGAUUAUGAUGCAUUAUUAAUAAGGAUGCAAACGAAUAAGUUUGUAUGUGAUUAAUUCCUUGUUUUUACUUACGUUUUAACAUUUUUUAUGAGAUAUGAUUGAAUAUGGAAUAAUUACUUGAGGUGAAUAAUGAAUUACGGUUGAAUA